rnacentral:sRNA from 1 species
UCUGUUUAUUCACAGAACAGAUACAGCAUGGAAAGCAUCAGUGUAAUCUCCUUCAUGCUUCUCCAUCAGUAUGCCUCAAUGCUAGCGUGGGGUCUACCAACUCUUAAGCAUGAGAGG